AAUGAACGCUGGCGGCAUGCCUAACACAUGCAAGUCGAACGAAGGCUUCGGCCUUAGUGGCGCACGGGUGCGUAACGCGUGGGAAUCUGCCCUUGGGUUCGGAAUAACAGCUAGAAAUGGCUGCUAAUACCGGAUGAUGACGUAAGUCCAAAGAUUUAUCGCCCAGGGAUGAGCCCGCGUAGGAUUAGCUAGUUGGUGGGGUAAAGGCCUACCAAGGCGACGAUCCUUAGCUGGUCUGAGAGGAUGAUCAGCCACACUGGGACUGAGACACGGCCCAGACUCCUACGGGAGGCAGCAGUGGGGAAUAUUGGACAAUGGGCGAAAGCCUGAUCCAGCAAUGCCGCGUGAGUGAUGAAGGCCUUAGGGUUGUAAAGCUCUUUUACCCGGGAUGAUAAUGACAGUACCGGGAGAAUAAGCUCCGGCUAACUCCGUGCCAGCCGCCGCAGUAACAC
rnacentral:rRNA from 1 species